GGCAUUGACCGUAACACACGGCUUAAUCAUGGUUGGCCUUAACCCACUCGGUCAACUGGUCCCUCUGGGUGAGGAAUAAACCACAACUCAAAGUGAAAAGUGGAUACCUUCUUCUGUAAAACUAAGGAAUGUUUGUCGUUUUUCCUCUUCAUAACUCUUUGACUCAGAACCAGGAAGCAAAAGAGGCUGGCUUUAGGUGUUCCCAAGAAACCACAAGAAUAUCAAAAUGCACGAAGGACUCUGCAAAUCUCGGACAAACUGAUCUCUGAAUGCUGUGUUGUAUUCCAUGCAAACCCGCAAAACCCCAAGAAACGUCAAUUUGGGAGUUUUGGUUAACAAGCCUCUCCAUCUGAAUGACAUGCUGCUGGUGGGUGGAGUUGGCUUGCUCGUUACCUAAACCUGUAACAUCUGUGCUGGAUCUGCUUGAGUUUAAAAAGACUGUCUCACCGGGUCAUCGCCUUCUUCUCUUGACUUCCCGGCAGCCUCCCACACAGCACUACAAUUUCACUCACUCAUACGUUACACAUGCUACUGGUCUGUGCCCUCUUCACUACUGGUUUGAGUUUUAUUCAUGUUUAUUAAGUUCCUUUGUUUGUAAGUCUGUGUGUGGCCUCCAUUUUUGUUGCUUGAGUCAGUUGUUAUUCAUGUUUUUGUCAUCAUUAGUCAGGAUUUGUUGUAGAGUUUAAUAAAAACACCUGACGCACAGAACAGAAAUAUUUAUCUAGGCAUUUAACUUUUAGUCUUAGCUUUUUCACCUUAAACAGUCAGUUUAUAGUUUAUAAUGUCAUCAACUUGUUUCAAAAACUCACAUGUUGCUUAUAACUGGAAUUACCUCCCUAACCUAAUAUUCACAAAUAUUAAAGGAUCGUUUUGUUUUAUUACAAUCUAGAUCUUAUUUUUAGCUACCUGAUGAAAUAUCUAAUAAUGUAGUUACUCAAUUUGGUCAGCAGAGUACCUUUGUCUUCAAAAAUCAUUUGAAGACCAAGAGUACUUAUGUAAUAUACUCUCUCUGCCCUCCCUGAUCUAUCUAUAGCUCAAAAAAUGUCAUUUGCAAUGCACUUAGGUGUUACUUUGAGCACCUAUAACCUUGUGGCACUUGUGUCAGGCGGAACAUGGAGUGAUGUCACUUUGGGCAAAAGCAUCUGCCAAGUGAAUAAACGUAAAUGUCAUGGCCCGAGG